UGGGGAAUAUUGGACAAUGGGGGCAACCCUGAUCCAGCAAUGCCGCGUGUGUGAAGAAGGUCUUCGGAUUGUAAAGCACUUUCGACGGGGACGAUGAUGACGGUACCCGUAGAAGAAGCCCCGGCUAACUUCGUGCCAGCAGCCGCGGUAAUACGAAGGGGGCUAGCGUUGCUCGGAAUGACUGGGCGUAAAGGGCGUGUAGGCGGUUUACACAGUCAGAUGUGAAAUCCCCGGGCUUAACCUGGGAGCUGCAUUUGAUACGUGUAGACUAGAGUGUGAGAGAGGGUUGUGGAAUUCUCAGUGUAGAGGUGAAAUUCGUAGAUAUUGGGAAGAACACCGGUGGCGAAGGCGGCAACCUGGCUCAUGACUGACGCUGAGGCGCGAAAGCGUGGGGAGCAAACAGGAUUAGAUACCCUGGUAGUCCACGCUGUAAACGAUGUGUGCUAGAUGUUGGGUAACUUUGUUAUUCAGUGUCGCAGUUAACGCGUUAAGCACACCGCCUGGGGAGUACGGCCGCAAGGUUGAAACUCU
rnacentral:rRNA from 1 species